AGGACGAACGCUGGCGGCGUGCUUAACACAUGCAAGUCGAGCGGAAAGGCCCUUCGGGGUACUCGAGCGGCGAACGGGUGAGUAACGCGUGAGCAACCUGCCCUUAGCUCUGGGAUAGCUCCGGGAAACCGGAAUUAAUACCGGAUAUUACAUCGGCCGACAUCGGCUGAUGUGGAAAGAUUUAUCGGGAUUGGAUGAGCCCGCGUUGGAUUAGCUAGUUGGUGGGGUAAUGGCCUACCAAGGCGACGAUCCAUAGCUGGUCUGAGAGGAUGAUCAGCCACACUGGGACUGAGACACGGCCCAGACUCCUACGGGAGGCAGCAGUGGGGAAUAUUGGACAAUGGGCGCAAGCCUGAUCCAGCCAUGCCGCGUGAGUGAUGAAGGCCUUAGGGUUGUAAAGCUCUUUCAGUGGGAAGAUAAUGACGGUACCCACAGAAGACGCCCGGCUAACUUCGUGCCAGCAGCCGC
rnacentral:rRNA from 1 species